UAGGAGGCAGCAGUGAGGAAUUUUGGACAAUGGGCGCAAGCCUGAUCCAGCCAUGCCGCGUGCGGGAAGAAGGCCUUCGGGUUGUAAACCGCUUUUAGCCGGGAAGAAAAGGCGCGGCCGAACAAGCUGCGUUCUUGACGGUACCGGCGGAAUAAGCACCGGCUAACUACGUGCCAGCAGCCGCGGUAAUACGUAGGGUGCGAGCGUUAAUCGGAAUUACUGGGCGUAAAGCGUGCGCAGGCGGUUCGUUAAGUUCGUUGUGAAAGCCCCGGGCUCAACCUGGGAGGUGCAAUGGAAACUGGCGGGCUCGAGUCUGGCAGAGGGGGGUGGAAUUCCACGUGUAGCAGUGAAAUGCGUAGAGAUGUGGAGGAACACCGAUGGCGAAGGCAGCCCCCUGGGCUAAGACUGACGCUCAGGCACGAAAGCGUGGGGAGCAAACAGGAUUAGAAACCCCAGUAGUCCU
rnacentral:rRNA from 1 species